AGAGUUUGAUCCUGGCUCAGAGCGAACGCUAGCGGCGGGCUUAACACAUGCAAGUCGAGCGCAUGGCUUCGGCCAUGAGCGGCGAACGGGUGAGUAACACGUAGGUUACCUGCCCUUUGGUGGGGGAUAACCCAGGGAAACUUGGGCUAAUACCGCAUAUGGUCUACGGAUCAAAGCCUUCGGGCGCCAGAGGAUGGGCCUGCGGCCGAUUAUUUAAUCCUAGUUGGUGAGGUAACGGCUCACCAAGGGUACGAUCGGUAGCUGGUCUGAGAGGAUGAUCAGCCACACUGGAACUGAGACACGGUCCAGACUCCUACGGGAGGCAGCAGUGGGGAAUAUUGCGCAAUGGGCGAAAGCCUGAUGCAGCAACGCCGCGUGCACGAUGAAGGUCUUCGGAUCGUAAAGUGCUUUUCUGGGAGAUGAGGAAGGACAGUAUCCCAGGAAUAAGUCUCGGCUAACUACGUGCCAGCAGCCGCGGUAAAACGUAGGAGGCGAGCGUUAUCCGGAUUCACUGGGCGUAAAGCGCGUGCAGGUGGCAUGGUAAGUUGGGCGUGAAAUCUCCCGGCUCAACUGGGAGAGGUCGUCCAAUACUACCAGGCUAGAGAGCAGAAGAGGAAGAUGGAAUUCCCGGUGUAGUGGUGAAAUGCGUAGAUAUCGGGAGGAACACCAGUGGCGAAAGCGAUCUUCUGGUCUGUUUCUGACACUCAGACGCGACAGCUAGGGUAGUAAACGGGAUUAGAGACCCCGGUAAUCCUAGCCGUAAACGAUGUGAACUUGGCGUUGGUGGGUUAAACUCCAUCAGUGCCGCAGCAAACGCGAUAAGUUCCACCGCCUGGGGACUACGGCCGCAAGGUUAAAACUCAAAGGGAAUUGACGGGGGCCCGCACAAGCAGCGGAGCGUGUGGUUUAAUUCGAUGCUACACGAAGAACCUUACCCAGGCUUGACAUACAGGUGGUAGGGAUCCGAAAGGUGACCGACCCGCAAGGGAGCCUGAACAGGUGUUGCAUGGCUGUCGUCAGCUCGUGUCGUGAGAUGUUCGGUUAAGUCCGCUAACGAGCGCAACCCUCGUCGCGUGUUAUACGUGUCACGCGAGACCGCCGGUAUUAAGCCGGAGGAAGGUGGGGAUGACGUCAAGUCAGCAUGGCCUUUAUGCCUGGGGCUACACACACGCUACAAUGGGCAGUACAAUGGGUUGCUAAGCCGCGAGGUGGAGCCAAUCCCCCAAAGCUGUCCUCAGUUCAGAUUGCAGGCUGCAACUCGCCUGCAUGAAGCCGGAGUUGCUAGUAAACGCGCGUCAGCUAUAGUGCGUUGAAUACGUUCUCGGGCCUUGUACACACCGCCCGUCACGUCAUGGGAGCUGGUAACACCUGAAGCCGGUAGCCUAACCGCAAGGAGGGCGCCGUCGAAGGUGGGGCUGGUGACUGGGACGAAGUCGUAACAAGGUAGCCGU
rnacentral:rRNA from 1 species